UUUCUUUUUGCAGAUUUUGCCUCCACCACAAACAAGUACACUUCAUCUGCCAGAAUUCAAGGUAAAUACCCUUCACCCAUCAGAGAUCAUCAUCACUUUAGAUCGAACUCAUAAUAGCUUAGUCAAUCUGCUUUAUCAUUUGAACCACUCAUCGCUCCAAUAAGUGAGACUGUGACUUUUUGGUUCUUGUUGUUGCUGCUUGUGCUUUGAUUCUGGUGUUUUUGGUUUUGUUGUUCAGAUGGGAGUUAUUAGGGAUGAUUUGGCAUUAUGGACACAGCUACAAUGGAAUACAGACGACAAAAGAAAAAUCAGUGGAAAACAGUUGUUGUGAUUUUACUUAUGGACAUUAUCAGCUUACAAGCGGUAGACUCGACAAAGGCAUCGGAGAUAGUGAAAUUGAAAGCAGCAGACUCGAAAAACUAGUAAGAUAUGUGAAAUGCUUUUGGCUUCGUCAAAUCCAGUCACCAGGUUGAGUCCAAGCCAAAACUGUGUUGCUGGAGCAGUGCCUAUUGACGUUGUUUCAUCUUACCCUUCUCCGGGAUCAGCAGCCAAUCACAAGCUGAGAAUGAGAUGGACUCCUGAGUCUUUUGUAAAGUCGGUGAUCAAACUUGGAAAGGC